rnacentral:rRNA from 1 species
UACGUAGGUGGCGAGCGUUGUCCGGAUUUACUGGGCGUAAAGAGCGCGCAGGCGGUCGUACAAGUCGCGUGUGAAAGCCCCCGGCUCAACUGGGGAGGGUCACGCGAUACUGCUCGACUUGAAGGCAGGAGAGGGAAGUGGAAUUCCCGGUGUAGUGGUGAAAUGCGUAGAUAUCGGGAGGAACACCAGUGGCGAAGGCGACUUCCUGGCCUGUUCUUGACGCUGAGGCGCGAAAGCUAGGGUAGCAAACGGG